CAUCUAUAUAAUCAUGUCCACGGUUUAAACCAGAAACUUAUUAAAACCACACAAAAUAACAUAACUACAUGGUUAUCAAUAACAUUUUCAUAUGAGGUUAAUUGUUAAAUCUUUAGUAACUUAAAAAAAAAAGAAGUUUUAACUAACAUAAUUGUAUUUAAAUAGUUUAAUAUAAUACGAUCAUUUGAAUAUUCGUAUUUACACGUGCGAGAAUGAUUUUAUCUCUCAUCUCACAACCGCUAUAACGAUGGCAGAUAAAAGAAACCUCUAUUAUAUAUAAUUUGAAAAGUGAACUUUUGUGGAGUUAGUGCAGUUUAAUAAUUUUAAAUUAGGAAGUCUCUGUUCUAUAGUAGUAACGAGCAUUAAAUCACGUUACCGUUAAUU